GCGGAAUGCUUUACACAUGCAAGUCGAACGGCAGCACGGACUUCGGUCUGGUGGCGAGUGGCGAACGGGUGAGUAACGCGUGGGAACAUACCCUUUGGUACGGAAUAGCCUCGGGAAACUGGGAGUAAUACCGUAUGUGGUCGAGAGACGAAAGAUUUAUCGCCAAAGGAUUGGCCCGCGUUGGAUUAGGUAGUUGGUGGGGUAAUGGCCUACCAAGCCGACGAUCCAUAGCUGGUUUGAGAGGAUGAUCAGCCACACUGGGACUGAGACACGGCCCAGACUCCUACGGGAGGCAGCAGUGGGGAAUCUUAGACAAUGGGGGAAACCCUGAUCUAGCCAUGCCGCGUGAUCGAUGAAGGCCUUAGGGUUGUAAAGAUCUUUCAGGUGGGAAGAUAAUGACUGUACCACCAGAAGAAGCCCCGGCUAACUCCGUGCCAGCCGCCGCGGUAA
rnacentral:rRNA from 1 species